AUCACUUUUGUACGGCUGUUUUAUUGGAGUAUUUGUUCUCGGGUGGAUUUCGGAUAAUAUUGUAAAGAUCAAGAACAAUAAAAAUACUUAGGAAUAAUAAUAUGAAGAAAACACUUAAACAUCUAAAGUGUAAAUAUAAGUGAAUUUUCAACUAAAUACGACUAUAAUAAGAUGUGAUAAGUAGAAUUAUAUUCACUGUUAUCUCAAUGAGUGCUUUGAUUCCUGGUCGAGUGCUUGUUUAGGUAUUACCGCAUCUAAACAUCAAAUAUGGAUUUAGUCAGAUUUUUGGGCAUUAUCUUUUUUAUGCUUCGCUUACACACUCCCAAGACUGUUCCCCGUGUUCCUGCUGCAGACAAGGAACGGGAUGCUCCUACAACACUCAACUCGGGAUAUUCAACUACUGCUGGGAAGGAUGUAUUGAUGGAUUCAUGAGUCCUCAGUGUCAGAAACCCUGUGUUAACCAACGUUGUCAGACAUGUUCAACAGAGACUAUAUGUGAUGCAUGUCAUGAUGGGUAUUACGGCAACCAAUGUUGUAAUAAUCAACGUUGUCAGACAUGUUCAACAGAGACUACAUGCGAUACAUGUUAUGAUGGAUAUUACGGUGACCAAUGUCAAAGCCCAUGUCCCAGUACGUGUACCACGUGCACCUCUAGUACAUUAUGUUCAUCCUGCAUGGACGGGUUUUACGGCGACCAAUGUCAAAGCUCAUGUCCCAGUACGUGUACCACGUGCACCUCUAGUACAUUAUGUACAUCCUGUAGGGGCGGGUAUUACGGCGACCAAUGUAAAAGCUCAUGUCCCAUUACGUGUACCACGUGCACCUCUAGUACAGUAUGGACAUCCUGUAAGGACGGAUAUCACAGGGGGUCGGGGACAACGUGUUUAUAUUUGUGUAAGACAGAGUGUUUAUCUUGCACCAAUGGAACAUCCUGUACUGCAUGUAAGGUUAAGAGUGGUGUUGGAUAUUAUGGAAGUGAUUGCUCACUGAUAUGCAGUAACAAGUGCAAAGACUAUCUAUGCGAUAUAUAUGGAAACUGUCUGCAAUGUAAUGACCCCAAUUUCAUAGGUGAUAACUGGGAUAUAUGUAUUGAUGGCAAAUACGGAAAUCAGUGUAAGAAUGCUUGUCCUUUAAAUUGUAUAUCGUGCGAAUCUGACACACACUGUACUUCAUGUACAAAAGGAUUUAAGGGUAUCGCGUGCACAACGAUGAUGCAAUGCCCAGAUAAUUGUUUAAAUAAUACAGUUUGUUUAAGCUCUGGUAAAUGUAAAUCAUGUUUAGACGGAAUUUUUGGCGACUAUUGCAAUAUGACCUGUUCACAAAAUUGCAGGUAUGGAUACUGCAAUCAAGACGGGUCUUGUAAAGCAGGUUGUAAGGACGGAUUUACUGGAUCAAUGUGUGAAAUAAAGAUUUGCCCGCCGAACUGCAUUUGUGAUAGCUGGAAAAACUGUAUAGGGUGUAAAAGUAAUUAUUUUGGGCCUUCAUGUUCUCGUACCUGUAGUUGAUGUAAAGAUAAUAUAUGCCCUGUAGAAACUUUAAAUGCAGUGAAAUGUAGUGAAUGUGAAGGCGGGAUGUAUGGUAAUCUCUGUAAUGAUAGAUGUCCAGACAAUUGUUUAAAUAAUAAGUGCGACCAAGACAGUGGGGCAUGUACUUGCGAAAACGGAUACAAAUUUCAAGAUAGUACAUGUGUCCGAAGCAUAUGCCAAGCUAACUGCUCCACAUGUAUUUCGUUUGAUAAUUGUAUUUCUUGUGUUGAUAAGUAUUAUUAUGGAGAUACCUGUAAGCACGAAUGUAGCAACUGCAGGUCAGGAACAACCUGUAGGAAGAAUGAUGGUUACUGUCAGACUGAAUGUGCAGACGGGUUUAGUGGUUAUUAUUGCGAUACUCCUUGCAAUGAUGGAUGUGCUACAUGUACACGUAGCCAAACUAAUGAAUGUUUGUCAUGUCAAAAUGGAAGACAUGGCUAUGAUGGAUCAUACUACACAUGUAGGAACACCUGCAAUAAUGCAUGUGCGAACAAUUCUUGUGACGCUUUGAACGGUCAAUGUGACUAAGGCUGUGUAGAUGGAUAUUCGGGACCGUUUUGUAACAUGUAGUGUCCAUCAAAUUGCAAAUCGUGUCACCAAGUCAACGGCGAAUGUGAUUUAUGUGCGUAUGUUUUUUGGGGCGAGUACUGUUUGAACAAUUGCAGCGAAAAUUGUACACAUAUAAAUGAGUCGUUGUCAAGUUGUGACAUAAGAUCUGGUGAAUGCAAAUAUGGAUGCUUACAUGGGACUCACGGCUCACUCUGCAGUAUUGAAUGUGACCAAAAGUGUAUCGCUUCUGAAAAUGGGGUUCGUGAGUGCAGACAGAUGGACGGACAGUGUACCCUAGGAUGUGAGGCAGGGUAUAAGCUGACAACUAAAGGAUACAUAGAAGAAAUUGUGCCCGACAGUGAUAGCAGUAACGGUGUUGUGCAGACAGGCGUUAUGGGCGGAGUCAUUGCUGUUCUAUCGGUUUCGCUUGCUCUUUCUGUUGGUUAUAAUGUUUUCAUGAAAAGACGACAAAAUAGAGAACACCCGGAGAAACGAUCAGCAUCAGACUCAAUAGCUGACAAAGAAGCUCGAACGUACGAACAGUUACAAGAAUGUACAGACCAACCAAACUACCAGAAUGUCAAUGACAAUGGCACUGACAAUUAUUCCGUGUUGUUUGCAGAUACAAACAUGAUGUCCCGGAGAUGAUUUAGAGUCCAUACAACAAAUUGAUUCGAUCACACAGCCUUUCAGCGACUGCCUACGGAAUAUUCGUAUUAACAAAACACUUAUUAACAAUUCUGCAUUUAAAAUGCAUGAACAUAACCUUAAACAAUGUGACUGACACGACGUUAAAAUCAGAUGAUGUCUAAAAUGUAAUUCAAGUCCACGUGCAUUUGAUUGUCACCAUUCAUUGGAUAAACGCUCAUCCAUAUUUAAAUGAAGGCAGUUUAAUAUCGGAUUCUGUUUUUUUGUUUAUCUGAAUAGAGUUGGAAACACCGGACACUAAUAUGAGCAACAUUUUUCUACAUGCUCCAUAUUUUCAUAGUUUUUACAAUUGCCAUCAUUCGUAGCCCCUAUCUUAUUCUUCUAUGACUCGAGUUAAAGCGGUCAUUUUUAAAGGAGACUUUCAAAAUAAUAGAUUUAAAUUCGUUCUGGAAAUCCGUUAUUUGUGAAACAUGAACUGGAGCUUUAGCUUUGGUCAGAUUCAGUUCAAAAAGCGAAACGGAGAUGAGUGAAACAAUUGGUCGUUUCACAAACAUCAGUUUAAAACCUUAUUUUAUUUUAAAACAUAUUUCUUGAUUCUUGUACUGCAAUGGAAUAGUAGAUGUCGUUCUUGUUUUUCAUUUGAUUUUUGUCCUAUAUAAGGUAUAAGUCUGCAUGACUCGUUCUUGAUGAUCAGAUUGCAUUUGCUGAGAGCCUUUUUUUAUUCCAUUCUAAUGUUAAUAAAUAAGGUGUUGCUUAUACACAUUUUUAUACUUGGAAAGGUCAGUUUAUAUCCCCACACCAAUGUCAACUUACGCGCUUAAUUGUGAGGUUUGCGAUACUCAAAUAUGUGUAUUUUGGAUGCGUAGUAAUCCAUUGUAGUGUAUCAACAGCAACAUCAUACACCUUUUGUUUGUGCAUGAAUUAAUGACUUGAGUAUACUUAAGAUACAAAACAGUGUGAAGGAAAAUGAGAAAACAGUGAGUUUGACAAUAUAUUAUAUGACUGUAUUUACAUUGUAGAGUGCCAUGUUUUAACGAUUUUCACUUUAUGACUACUUAAAGUAUAAUUAUUUAAAUGAGUUAUGUGGUGAUAAAUCUAUGUGUCCACAUUUAUUCUAUUAUUGAUGUAAGAAUGUAUAAAUAUGUCAUGUGUUGCAAUUUCAAAAUUUAUUGUGACGGUAUUUACAACGCGGAAAUACUAUCUAGAUAGUUUGUAAGAUGUAUCAACGUGCACAGAGUUUUGAAUAUAUUCACGGAUUGAAGCAAAUGUUUCUAAUGCAUUUUUCACACUGUCUGUAUGUUAUAGAUAUCUUUUAUCUUAAACAUCGAAUAUACUUACAAUCAUAAAUUCAAUUAAACAUCACUUUAACUAUGCUAUAUUAUUUUUUGUUUCUUUUUGGCUCGAUGCCAUGCACUACAAUUAAUCAAGGUCAUGUCAUGUUAUGUUAUUUAUGUUAUUCUCUGUCGCUAGUAAAUCAGUAGGAUGUAAUUGGGAACACCAAUCAAA